rnacentral:rRNA from 1 species
GGCUAAUACCGCAUGAUGACCUGAGGGCCUAAAGGCGCAAGUCGCCUAGAGGAGCUCNGCUCGAUUAGCUUAGUUGGUGGGGUAAAGGCCUACCAAGGCCUACGAUCAGUAGCUGGUCUGAGAGGAUGAUCAGCCACAUUGGGACUGAGACACGGCCCAAACUCCUACGGGAGGCAGCAGUGGGGAAUAUUGGACAAUGGGCGCAAGCCUGAUCCAGCAAUGCCGCGUGGGUGAAGAAGGUCUUCGGAUUGUAAAGCCCUUUUGGCGGGGACGAUGAUGACGGUACCCGCAGAAUAAGCUCCGGCUAACUCGUG